CUUCCGCCGGCCCAGGUGGCCCUGAAGCUCCUCGUCCUCCUCCAGCUGCGGGGUCAGGCCAUCAGCAUCGUCCUCUGGAACAGAGCCAAGCCCACCCCAGCGGAGUCCGUGGGAGGCGAAGGUUAGCAGCCCCCACCCUGCUGCAAGCUCCCCAAACUCCCAGGCCUCAUGGACAGGCUCCUGCCACCCACCACUCAGUCAGAAACCAGCCUCCCGGCUACCCGCUAACCCCGCUCUCAGCCCUCUCUCCCUGCACCACGGCCAAGAUGGCUUCAGUCCAAGCCCUGCUCCAGCCAGUCCCUCAUGCCUGCCCUCCGUGCAGCUGAUGUCGCCGGCCUCUGGAGGAAACCCAAGCCUGCUCUGGAGGGUUUCAGGAAGGUGCUCAGCUCUUGCAGAGGCAGCCGGGGCUCUUCAAAGUGCACCGUCUCACCCCCGGCCCCAGAUGGCACGUGCCUCUCUAACGGGACCAUGCCCCAGCUGACACUCACUUGGCUCCCAACCACUGUCUCCUCCAGGAGGCCAAGGCCGCCCCAGGCUCCCUGCGGGUCACCACCUUCUCUGUCCAGUUCCGGGAAAGCACUGGCCGUCCUGCCUGCCUGUGGCUGUUCCUGCUACAAGCCCUAAGCAGGCUCCACAGCAGCACAGCACACCCCUCUCCAGCCCGGCCCAGAGCAGGCCCAGGGAAAUGCAAGGUGCCGCUGGCCCUCACCGCUCUCUGAGAGCUCCACCUCGCCGGCCUCCAGGGCUUCGCUCUCCGCUGUGGCUGCCGCCUCCUCCGCCUCCUCCUCCUCAUCUUCAUCUUCAGCUACACUGAGCUCCCGUAGUCUGGUUUCGGUCUCAGGGGCCUCCUGGGGCUGCAGCCUCAGCUGCAUGGUAUGGAGAUGCUGCAAGACCUGCCUCUGAGGAGCAGAGAGAUGCUCAGCUCAGGACUGGGGGCUGUGGAUGCAGAGAAAGAUGGGGAUGGGGCACAAGGGGCAGGCAGGCUGCAACGAAGCUGGGCUCAUUGGGGAGCCGGUGUGGGUGGGAUGGGCUCUUGCACCUGCAGCUGGGGACGCUGGGCCUGCUGGGCACAGCUGAGCGCCUUCUGGAAGCACGGGGCCAGCAGCUCGUAGGCAUCGCCGGCCUCCUCGCGGGACAGUGCAAUGUUCAGCCAGGUCUUGGCCUCCUGGAGCAGGAGGAAAGACAGGGUCGGGGGCUGCCGCUCUCUGCAUCCAACGGGCCCCAGUCAAGCUUCCCCGGCUGCCCACACGAAACGGGAGCCUGGCCUCCCAGCUGCUGAGGGUGGAUGGUCCUAGGAAGGAGCUGCCCGUCCAGUAAGGACACCUGUCCAUGGCCACCCUGAGAACGGCAGUCCUGAGGCAGAGACAUGGGUGAACCUGCAUUCGGGCGGGGAGCAAGGGUUUCACCUCCAGCACGUUGCCGCUGCGCAGUCUCAGUUCCUCCUCAUAGUGGCGCACGGCCCCAUGGUGGUCCUUCAUGUCUCCCAGUGUGGUGGCCAGGGACACAUGGAUGAUGGCCCGCUCGGCACCCGGUCUGUCCAGCAGCUCAGCAAAACGCAGCUGGGGGCAGUGCCAGUGAGGCCAGGGGCUGCCACCCUGGCCAGGCCUCGUCAACCUCACUGGCCCUUCCCUCCCACCCAGCCGGGGCCACACACCUGCUUCUGGUAAGCCUCAGCUGCCCUGGGAAAGUCUCCUGCCUUGGAGAAGAGGUCCCCUAGCUGCUCACAGAUGACCAUGGCACCCUGAGGGUCACUGCCCUCGGCCUCUUCCAGCUGUUGCUGCAGCCGGACCACUGCCAGCACUGCCGGGAAGAGGUUCAUGCAGGGGGGCAGCACAGGGGGCCCUGACCCCAGCUCUACCACCUGCAAGCUGUGAGCCCUGUGGUGGCCCCCCCCACCCUCUCCACACCUCUGCCUGCCUGUUGGUGUGGGGGUUAAUAGCAGGGUCUAUCUUGGGGACUGGUCUCAAGGGUAACAAGAACUAACACACUUAAAAACUCGGGGCCAGGUACAGUGGCUCACGCCUGUAAUCCUAGGACUUUGGGAGGCCGAGGCAGGCAGAUCAUGAGGUCAGGAGAUCGAGACCAUCCUGGCUAACACGGUGAAACCUCGUCUCUACUAAAAAUACAAAAAAUUAGCCGGGUGUGGUGGCGGGCACCUGUAGUCCCAGCUACUCGGGAGGCUGAGGCAGGAGAAUGGCAUGAACCCGGGAAGCGAAGCUUGCAGUGAGCCGAGAUCAUGCCACUGCACUCCAGCCUGGGCGACAGAGCAAGACUCCAUCUCAAGAAAAAAAACAACACAACAUGGAUGGUGCCUGGCUCAAAGUAAGGGCUGACUGCUGCCAACCUCCAAUGGUGGUCUCUGCCAUCAGCACUCCUGGACCACACGCGUGCCAUCUCCUCUCCCACCCUGGGAGGCUAGGGGUACAACUACUGUCUCCAGUUUGCCAAUGAAGAUGGUGGCUGCGAAAUAAAAGCCCAGCUGGUCUCCUGGCCGCCCUUUCAUUGCCCC